ACUCAACACAUAUCAAUUAAAAAGGGUGAGUCAAAGUUGUAAAAGCAAGCCGUCUUAGAACGGAUCCUUGAUCAGCUUGUUAGCCCUAAACCUGUUUCGACGGAGUUU
rnacentral:sRNA from 1 species